rnacentral:rRNA from 1 species
AUUGAACGCUGGCGGCAGGCCUAACACAUGCAAGUCGCACGAGUGGCGGACGGGUGAGUAAUGUCUGGGAAACUGCCUGAUGGAGGGGGAUAACUACUGGAAACGGUAGCUAAUACCGCAUACCAUCGGAUGUGCCCAGAUGGGAGUAGCUAGUAGGGUGGGUAAAGGCUCACAUAGGCGACGAUCCCUAGCUGGUCUGAGAGGAUGACCAGCCACACUGGAACUGAGACACGGUCAAGACUCCUACGGGAGGCAGCAGUGGGGAAUAUUGCACAAUGGGCGCAAGCCUGACGCAGCCAGGCCGCGUGUAGGAAGAAGGCCUUCGGGUUUUAAAGUACUUUCAGCGGGGAGGCGUUACCCGCAGAAGAAGCCCCGGCUAACUCCGUGCCAGCAGCCGCGGUAAUAC